rnacentral:rRNA from 1 species
GACGAACGCUGGCGGCGUGCUUAACACAUGCAAGUCGAACGGUGAAGGGACUGGUUUUGCUGGUCCUGGAUGAGUGGCGAACGGGUGAGUAACACGUGAGUAACCUGCCCCCUUCUUCUGGAUAACUGCAUGAAAGUGUGGCUAAUACGGGAUAUUCUGGGUCUGUCGCAUGGUGGGCCUGGGAAAGAUUGCGCCUUUUUUGGUGUUUUUGGUGGGGGAUGGGCUCGCGGCCUAUCAGCUUGUUGGUGGGGUGAUGGCCUACCAAGGCGGUGACGGGUAGCCGGCCUGAGAGGGUGGACGGUCACACUGGGACUGAGACACGGCCCAGACUCCUACGGGAGGCAGCAGUGGGGAAUAUUGCACAAUGGGCGCAAGCCUGAUGCAGCGACGCCGCGUGAGGGAUGGAGGCCUUCGGGUUGUGAACCUCUUUCGCCAGUGAAGCAGGCCUGCCUCUUUGUGUGGGUGGGUUGACGGUAGCUGGAUAAGAAGCGCCGGCUAACUACGUG